rnacentral:tRNA from 1 species
GACCCGGUAGCUCAGCAGGUAGAGCAGUUCCCUUUUAAGGAAAAGGUCCUGGGUUCGAACCCCAGCCGGGUCA